GACGAACGCUGGCGGCGUGCUUAACCCAUGCACGUCGAACGGCGUGGCGCACGGGUGAGUAUUACGUGAGUAACCUGCCCUCAACUGUGGGAUAAGCCUGGGAAACUGGGUCUAAUCCUGCAUAUUUGGUGAUUGGCUCGCGGCCUAUCAGCUUGUUGGUGGGGUGCUGGCCUACCAAGGCGGUGACGGGUAGCCGGCCUGAGAGGGUGGGCGGCUACAGUGGGGAUGGGAUGCGGCCCAGACGCAUACGGGAGGCAGCAGUGGGGUAUAUUGCUCAAUGGGCGGAGGACUGAUGCAGCGACGCCGCGUGAGGGAUGAAGGCUUUCGGUUUGUAAACCUCUUUCGGUACAGAACGGGUAUGUGCAGAAGAAGCGCCGGCUAACUACGUGCCAGCAGCCGCGGUAAUAC
rnacentral:rRNA from 1 species